CAGUCGCCGCGGUAAUACGAAGGGGGCUAGCGUUAUUCGGAUUUACUGGGCGUAAAGCGCACGUAGGCGGAUCGAUCAGUCAGGGGUGAAAUCCCAGAGCUCAACUCUGGAACUGCCUUUGAUACUGUCGAUCUGGAGUAUGGAAGAGGUGAGUGGAAUUCCGAGUGUAGAGGUGAAAUUCGUAGAUAUUCGGAGGAACACCAGUGGCGAAGGCGGCUCACUGGUCCAUUACUGACGCUGAGGUGCGAAAGCGUGGGGAGCAAACAGGAUUAGAUACCCCAGUAGUCCCUGUCUCUUAUAC
rnacentral:rRNA from 1 species